rnacentral:rRNA from 1 species
AUUGAACGCUGGCGGCAGGCCUAACACAUGCAAGUCGGGCGAGUGGCGGACGGGUGAGUAAUGUAUGGGGAUCUGCCUGAUGGCGGGGGAUAACUACUGGAAACGGUAGCUAAUACCGCAUACAAUCAGAUGAACCCAUAUGGGAUUAGCUGGUUGGGGGGGUAACGGCUCACCAAGGCGACGAUCCCUAGCUGGUCUGAGAGGAUGAUCAGCCACACUGGAACUGAGACACGGCCCAGACUCCUACGGGAGGCAGCAGUGGGGAAUAUUGCACAAUGGGCGCAAGCCUGAUGCAGCCAUGCCGCGUGUAUGAAGAAGGCCUUCGGGUUGUAAAGUACUUUCAGUGGGGAGGCGUUACCGACAGAAGAAGCACCGGCUAACUCCGUGCCAGCCGCCGCGGUAAUAC